GCCAGGGCCCAGCAGACAGCAAUGAGUUGCUCCUCUAUGGAGUUGCCACAGCAUUCUCCUUGCAAAUAUUCUGUCACUUUAUCAGGGUCCUGUAGUUGUUCAGGGGUGAACUUCCAAACCAUUGGAGGAGAGAAUU